rnacentral:rRNA from 1 species
GGGACGAACGCUGGCGGCGUGCUUAACACAUGCAAGUCGAGCGGAAAGGCCUUUCGGGGGUACUCGAGCGGCGAACGGGUGAGUAACACGUGAGUAACCUGCCCUAGGCUUUGGGAUAACCCUCGGAAACGGGGGCUAAUACCAAAUAAUUCACUUUCGACGGCAUCGUUGGGGGUGGAAAGUUUUCCGGUCUGGGAUGGGCUCGCGGCCUAUCAGCUUGUUGGUGGGGUGAUGGCCUACAAGGCGACGACGGGUAGCCGGCCUGAGAGGGCGACCGGCCACACUGGGACUGAGACACGGCCCAGACUCCUACGGGAGGCAGCAGUGGGGAAUCUUGGACAAUGGGGGCAACCCUGAUCCAGCCAUGCCGCGUGAGCGAUGAAGGCCUUAGGGUUGUAAAGCUCUUUCAGCGGGGAAGAUAAUGACGGACCGCAGAAGAAGCCCGGCUAACUCCGUGCCAGCAGCCGC